GAUGAAGAACGCAGCGAAAUGUGAUACGUAAUGUGAAUUGCAGAAUUCAGUGAAUCAUCGAAUCUUUGAACGCAUAUUGCGCUCUCUGGUAUUCCGGAGAGCAUGCUUGUUUGAGUAUCAGUAAACACCUCAACUUCCAUAUCUUUUUUGAAAUGGGAGUUGGACUUGAGUGAUCCCAACGCUUUUCCUCACCGAAAAGUGGCGGGUUACUUGAAAUGCAGGUGCAGCUGGACUUUUCUCUGAGCUAUAAGCAUAUCUAUUUAGUCUGCCUAAAAAACAGAUUAUUACCUUUGCUGCAGCUAACAUAAAGGAGAUUAGUUCUUGUGCUGACUGAUGCAGGAUUCACAAAGACGGCUUCGGCCGACUUUGUAAACUCGAUCUCAAAUCAAGUAAGACUACCCGCUGAACUUAAGCAUAUCAAUAAGCGGAGGA
rnacentral:misc_RNA from 1 species